rnacentral:tRNA from 1 species
AGAUCAUUACAGGGUUAAUUUUAAGCUUCUAACUUAAAUAGAUAUGGUUCAAUUCCAUAUAUGAUCUU